AGUCCGAUUGGAUCGGCCCGGCCGCCGUCCCCGUCCGUCCGUCCGGUGUGUCAACCGUACACCACCUCUCGCCUCCUGUCAAUUCCCUUCCCGGUCCCCCACCGGAGCCAGCCAGAGGACCCUACCGCGGGGCGAGGUCGUUGGAUUAUUAAUCCUCCCUCGCUGGGUCGUCUUCUCCGAUCGUCGUCGUCCACACACGAGUCACGCAUGCCCGGCCGGCCCUACCUCUACCUGGCCUUCUUGUUGGCUCCAAUCGGCCUCUCCGAGCUAGCAAGGUCCCUGCUGCCUCACUGUUGCCACGCGUGUACGCGUAUUUCUGCCCAGUGGCAGCGCCAGUACACUACCUCGAUCGCUCUACACCGUGCAUAUACAUGCAUACGCGCGCCAGGCGGCAGCCGGCAGGAGGCCGGAGUGAGUGGCUGGAAGGAGAGAGCGCUUGAGUGCGGUGCAUAUGCUCAGGCUAGCUCAGCGCGCACCGUCUCCGGCAUGCAUGCAUAUGGGCUGGGCGGCAUGGCAGCUCGAUCGAUGUGUGCUGAGGAUGGCGAGGUGCGCGCGGUGGAGAAGCAGGGCACGUGCAUUCUUUCCGUCGCCGGCCGGCUUGGCAGCGGCCGGCGGCCCGGCUCUCGCAGUCACGCGUACGUCGCCUGAGCGGCGCGCGCGAGAGAGAGAGACACGGCAGGUCGUCGCCGGCGCGGCUAACUGGUGCAGGUGCAGCAGCUAGCUUCUGAAACCCAGCCAGCCAGCCAGCCGGCCGGCCGGCCGAUCGAUGCGUGCAUGUGCCCUUCUUCUCCAUCGGGCACGCCUCGCCUGCGCUGCGCACCCCCUUCUGUGAGUGCAUGCAAGUAAGCAAAAAGACUGUCUGUACUUUAAUUUUCACCUCGAGCAGGGUGCAGCCUCUGCAAGUCUGCAUGCAUGGACCGCCGCCCCCAGGUUCUUGGAAGCGGCGGCCGGCUGCAAAGUAAAGCAUGCAUGCGCAUGUGAGUCUAAUGUUUUGCUUCCCUCAUCGUUGGAUCUCUUUUGCUAAUAUAAUCAUUAGUACCAAUUUCGAUGA